rnacentral:misc_RNA from 1 species
UUUCCGUAGGUGAACCUGCGGAAGGAUCAUUACCGAGUUAGGGUCUAACCGCCCGACCUCCAACCCUUUGUGAAUCGUACUCGUUGCUUCGGGGGCGACCCUGCCGUUUCGACGGCGAGCGCCCCCGGAGGCCUUCAAACACUGCAUCUUUGCGUCGGAGUUUAAGUAAAUUAAACAAAACUUUCAACAACGGAUCUCUUGGUUCUGGCAUCGAUGAAGAACGCAGC